rnacentral:rRNA from 1 species
AUGCACGCUGGCGGCGUGCCUAAUACAUGCCAGUAGAACGCUGAAGGAGGAGCUUGCUCUUCUGGAUGAGUUGCGAACGGGUGAGUAACGCGUAGGUAACCUGCCUGGUAGCGGGGGAUAACUAUUGGAAACGAUAGCUAAUACCGCAUGACAACAGUUAUUGCAUGAUAACUGUUUAAAAGGGGCAACUGCUCCACUACCAGAUGGACCUGCGUUGUAUUAGCUAGUUGGUGAGGUAACGGCUCACCAAGGCGAUGAUACAUAGCCGACCUGAGAGGGUGAUCGGCCACACUGGGACUGAGACACGGCCCAGACUCCUACGGGAGGCAGCAGUAGGGAAUCUUCGGCAAUGGACGGAAGUCUGACCGAGCAACGCCGCGUGAGUGAAGAAGGUUGUCGGAUCGUAAAGCUCUGUUGUAAGAGAAGAACGAGUGUGAGAGUGGAAAGUUCACACUGUGACGGUAGCUGACCAGAAAGGGACGGCUAACUACGUG